GAAAUGCGAUAACUAAUGUGAAUUGCAGAAUUCAGUGAAUCAUCGAGUCUUUGAACGCACAUUGCGCCCCCUGGUAUUCCGGGGGGCAUGCCUGUCCGAGCGUCAUUGCUGCCCUCAAGCCCGGCUUGUGUGUUGGGCCCUCGUCCCCCGGCUCCCGGGGGACGGGCCCGAAAGGCAGCGGCGGCACCGCGUCCGGUCCUCGAGCGUAUGGGGCUUCGUCUUCCGCUCCGUAGGCCCGGUCGGCGCCCGCCGACGCAUUUAUUUGCAACUUGUUUUUUUCCAGGUUGACCUCGGAUCAGGUAGGGAUACCCGCUGAACUUAAGC
rnacentral:misc_RNA from 1 species